GGGUUAAUUUAAGAUAAAAGAACUAGAUAGGAAGAAGCCUGCCAUGACCAUACAGUUUAUAAGUAAUACAAGUCUCUGUGUGUUUACUUGGGUCUGAGCAGCUGCAGGAGCUGGGUCAACACAGGAAAACUCCAGCUACAGAAAGAGCUUAAAGAGAGGAAUCAUGGGAAGCGCUAUGGACAGCAGGGCAGCUCAGUGUUAAAUCCUGCUGAUGUCAGAGUCACUAACAGACUCCUUUGCUUGUGUCUCCUCUCAAGGGCUGAAGAAGAGGCCUGGGUCCAUGGUUCUUAAACCAUGGGUCUCAGUUUGGCCUGGUGUGGUCUACAGGCCACAGGAGGGAGCCAGGCCAGAAUUCCACAAAACUGUGUACCCCAAACAUCAUUGUUAUGUAUCAGCCACCUCAAGCAACUCAGACACAAGCGGUUUAUCCCUCCUCUCCCUGCAGUGUGAGCUGUUAGCUCCCCAACUUAAGCUCAUAGUUGUCCCAGCACUAUGGCUGGACAGAGAAGUCAGCCACCUGGCCACCCUCUUUGAAAGAGCUAGCCGGUCACCUUCUGCAAUACACAUUCUAGAACCUCGUGUUCCACAUGACUUGGGGUCUUCAUCAACUCAUCUCCUAACUUGUCAAUGCCAGAUGGAAAGAAGUACAUGGACUGUGUAAGCCCAGGAGCCUCCUUCCACUAGUCGCCCAUCGUGCUGUUCCCCUGUCUCAGAAGUCCAGGAACUGGUGUCAUAGUUUUGUCCUAAUGAGUCUGCUGAAAAUCACAUGUGUGGCUGGAAUCCAUGAAGAAUAGGAGGGUAAACCCUUGUCAGCUGCCUCUGUGGGACUGUCACAGAAUGGCAGCUCUUCGCUUUGUGUGGGAGCCUUUGCCACAGUGACUCAGUACUGUGGACCCGAUGGCUCAUUUCUGCUUGAUGUGGACACAUCAGGACUACAUAUGAAACUGGAGCAGUGGUGCACUCUCCAUAGUUGGAACGAGAUUUCCCAGGCCUGAUAUGGAAAUUCUUUUACUUUAUUAAAUGCUCACUUGAUUUUUA